rnacentral:rRNA from 1 species
UACGUAGGGGGCAAGCGUUGUCCGGAAUCAUUGGGCGUAAAGAGCGCGUAGGCGGCGCGGUAAGUCGGGUGUGAAAUCUCGGGGCUUAACUCCGAAACUGCAUUCGAUACUGCCGUGCUUGAGGACUGGAGAGGAGACUGGAAUUUACGGUGUAGCGGUGAAAUGCGUAGAUAUCGUAAGGAAGACCAGUGGCGAAGGCGGGUCUCUGGACAGUUCCUGACGCUGAGGCACGAAGGUCAGGGGAGCAAACGGG